GACGAACCGUGCGAACGUUAUUCGGAAUCACUGGGCUUAAAGCGCGUGUAGGCGGCCCGGCACGUCCGUCGCUGAAAUCCCCCGGCUCAACCGGGGAAGGGGCGCGGAUACGACCGGGCUGGAGGGGGGUAGGGGAAUCGGGAACUUCCGGUGGAGCGGUGAAAUGCGUAGAGAUCGGAAAGAACACCAACGGCGAAAGCACUCUGCUGGGCCGACACUGACACUGAGAGACGAAAGCUAGGGGAGCGAAUGGG
rnacentral:rRNA from 1 species